UACGUAGGGGGCACGCGUUGUCCGGAUUUAUUGGGCGUAAAGCGCUCGCAGGUGGUCCGUCGCGUCGUGCGUGAAAGACCCCGGCUCAACUGGGGAGGGUCGUGCGAUACGGGCGGACUGGAGGCCAGUAGGGGGAUGCGGAAUUCCGGGUGUAGUGGUGGAAUGCGUAGAGAUCCGGAGGAACACCAGCGGCGAAGGCGGCAUCCUGGACUGGUCCUGACACUCAGGAGCGAAAGCGUGGGGAGCGAGCCGG
rnacentral:rRNA from 1 species